UACGAAGGGGGCUAGCGUUGCUCGGAAUUACUGGGCGUAAAGGGCGCGUAGGCGGACAGUUUAGUCAGCGGUGAAAGCCCAGGGCUCAACCUUGGAAUUGCCUUUGAUACUGGCUGUCUUGAGUUCGGGAGAGGUGAGUGGAAUGCCGAGUGUAGAGGUGAAAUUCGUAGAUAUUCGGCGGAACACCAGUGGCGAAGGCGACUCACUGGCCCGAUACUGACGCUGAGGCGCGAAAGCGUGGGGAGCAAACAGG
rnacentral:rRNA from 1 species